GGCGGCGUGGCCGAGUGGUCUAAGGCGCCAGAUUUAGGCUCUGGUCUCGUUGAGGCGUGGGUUCAAACCCCACCGCCGUCA
rnacentral:tRNA from 1 species